rnacentral:rRNA from 1 species
AGUAAAAGUCGUAACAAGGUCUCCGUUGGUGAACCAGCGGAGGGAUCAUUACAGAGUUGCAAAACUCCCACAAACCAUCGCGAAUCUUACCCGUACGGUUGCCUCGGCGCUGGCGGUCCGGAAAGGCCUUCGGGCCCUCCCGGAUCCUCGGGUCUCCCGCUCGCGGGAGGCUGCCCGCCGGAGUGCCGAAACUAAACUCUUGAUAUUUUAUGUCUCUCUGAGUAAACUUUUAAAUAAGUCAAAACUUUCAACAACGGAUCUCUUGGUUCUGGCAUCGAUGAAGAACGCAGCGAAAUGCGAUAAGUAAUGUGAAUUGCAGAAUUCAGUGAAUCAUCGAAUCUUUGAACGCACAUUGCGCUCGCCAGUAUUCUGGCGAGCAUGCCUGUUCGAGCGUCAUUUCAACCAUCAAGCUCUGCUUGCGUUGGGGAUCCGCGGCUGUCCGCGGUCCCUCAAAAUCAGUGGCGGGCUCGCUAGUCACACCGAGCGUAGUAACUCUACAUCGCUAUGGUCGUGCGGCGGGUUCUUGCCGUAAAACCCCCCAUUUCUAAGGUUGACCUCGGAUCAGGUAGGAAUACCCGCUGAACUUAAGCAUAUCAAUAAGCGGAGGA